GGUCAGUAAGGUGAGUCUGGUGGAUCUGGCGGGCAGUGAGCGAGCGGAUUCAUCCGGAGCCAAAGGCAUGAGAUUAAAGGAAGGUGCGAAUAUCAAUAAAUCUCUCACCACGCUGGGGAAAGUCAUCUCCGCUCUGGCUGAAAUG